GAUGGCGGGAACUACACCUGUAGCUGUGAGAACGGCUGGACUGGACACGACUGUGAUCAGGACAUAGAUGAGUGCGCGUCCUCCCCAUGUUCACAAGGAAGCUGUACGGAUGAUGUCGGGAGCUACACCUGUAAAUGUGAGAUCGGCUGGACAGGACACGACUGUCAUCAAGUUGAUGACUGUUUGUCCUCCCCCUGUGUUCACAGCACCUGUACUGAUGAUGGCGGAAGCUACACCUGUAGCUGUGAGAACGGCUGGACAGGACUCAAAUGUGAUCAAGACAUAGACGAGUGUGCGAGCAGCCCUUGUUGGCUGGGAGGGACCUGCCUGGAUCACGUGAACAGCUACAGCUGUGUCUGUCCGAAGAUACCACCGGCAAGAACUGUGAAACUG